rnacentral:lncRNA from 1 species
AUUUUUAAAGUUGGAGAUAAAUCAAAUGCCUUAAUUUCAUUCGUCGUGAUUAAAGGUCUGCGUAAUGUUCUACAGGAGAUUCAGGUGUGUUUCUGGUUGUAAAUUCUUUUCCAUCUAAACUUCUGAAGCUGCAGUGCUUAGUGAUUUAGCCAUGGGUUGGGACAGGGAAGUUGUUAAUUUUCAUUAUGCAAUGCAUGGCUGCAUUGUCUAGCUUGUGCUGGAUUUGCUGAGAAAUAUUCUUAUAAAUUCCAAAUUUUGAAUUAUAUAGAUGAUAAAGCUCAAUACACAAUUUUAUAUGUAUUUCAGUAAUCAUCUUUGAACUAUGUUAGAAAUUUUACUCUGUCUGUCUCCCCUUCCCCUUUUCCGCCUUUCUCCCCCUUCCUGUUUGUAAUUGGAAGUCUUGUCAAUUUUAUGUCUUUGAUGUCUAGUAGAAUCUGCCUCAGAUGUUUCAUUUACUUGGAAGAUAACUAUGCCUGCAUCUGUUGUUGCAUUCUUUCUCAAACUUGAAAGCUUGUAUCACAUAUUGGGGUUUCCUGUGGUUAUUCAUAGUUAUUCUGACAUUUUUUUUCUAGUCAAUUCAUUCGAGACUAUCUUUUACAGUCUUGAUUCAUCACUUUUAGUUUUAUGGCAGCAUUUUAUUUCUUUUUGUGCUUCUAAAUGAGAUCAAGUUUUAACCAAACCAAGAUGCCUGUAUGUUCUAAAUAACAUGUUAAAAUUCUCAGUGGUGGUCACACACAAACUUGUGUAACACUACUAAGCUGGUUGAAACUGUAGAAUAUGCAAAAUAUUGAAGGGCUAUUAAAUUACGGUGAUUGCUUGUUUGCAGGCUCUUAAGAGAGAGAUCAGUAAAGCUCGUAUUAGAUUUAUAGAACCUCUCAUCAAGGGCCAUGCUGGUUUGGAAUAUCUUAAAAAUGCUUUUGCCAAUCGAUAUGGACCACCAACUGAUGCUUUAUCCUCGCUAACAAUUGCAAGGCAGUGGCUUUCCUCUGUGCAUCCAAUUGCAGAGCAAGAGUGGGAUGAACACAUAGAUUCCCUAACUGCUCU